rnacentral:misc_RNA from 1 species
GCGAGUUGCGAGACUCCCAAACCAUUGUGAACCUACCUGUACCGUUUCUUCGGCGGGCGGCCUCGCCCCUAACCUCGCCGCCCCUCGCGGGCUGGCGGACCCGCCGGAGGCUCUUAAACUCUUAGAUUUUUUGGCACCUCUGAGUAUUACUUUUUAAUGAGUAA